rnacentral:lncRNA from 1 species
UUUGCGGACUGUUUUCGUCUUUCCUCCUUUAACUUUUGGUUAUGGCGUUGUCUCUUUUUUUCAACUUCUGAUUUUUUAUUGUAACUCACUUUGAUAUCUUUUUCACUUAUUCGCUACAGUUCUGUCUUUGUCUACAGUUUUUUUGUAUAGUUCAUUGUCUAUAAUAGUAGUUUUAUAGUUCAUUUUGCGCGACUGUCUUUAAAUUCUAUGUUGAUAAAUUAAACAAAAAAUACCAAAUUCAAUUAUGC